AGCUUAGUUGGUAAAGCGCUCGUCUAGCAUACAAGAGUUCUGGGUUCAAAUCCCAG
rnacentral:tRNA from 1 species